UUUUCCUUGCCAGCAGGUUAGGCUGGCCCGCUCCGAGCACCCUGGGCUUCUUAAAGGGGCAGCGCCCCUCGAGGCUCGGCCCCACGCGUGUUCUAACGGAGCCCCCACGCGAGGCGCGGGGCCGCCCCUCCGAACAACGUGACGGUGCCGAGCGGUACCGGAGCGCGGAGAGUCGCUGCUGCAGCCAGCCCGACCCCACGGUCACGCGUGGCACCGUGCGACACGACAGGCUCCGUGGGUUCGGGGCCCGGCAGUUGCCCCGGGAUGCCGGCACGCCGCCCGGAUUAGUAACACGGCUAAAAAUACGCGUACAGAGCAGAUCCACACACCGCUCCCGGUUCGAGGCGUGAGUCAGCACGGCGCAGCAGGAAGCGGCUGCAUCCCGAGGUGCUGCGCUGCCAAAACUUUUCGUGCUUAUUCAGCCUCCCCCCGGCUCCAGCUCUCACUGCACAACGCGUGUCCAUACGGCACAGCCGCUUCGUGCUCAGCAAAAACCCGGCGCCGCUGUCAUCCCGACCCGUCAAAGGCUGAUCUGUCGCACCGCAACAAACUGACCUGGAAAGCAACCGUUUGAGCAGUUGUUCAGUUAAUGAGCGCAAAGCAUGACAAGAAUGGAGUUACUUUCAAUAAGAUUCAUAAAACUUUCCCUACAGAAGCUAAAAUUUGAGCUGGAAGCGUCAGCUGUCAACACUUAUGCUUGAAUCCAGUCUACAUAUGACUUCAGGUUACCCUGAGGGCAACCAGCAGGCCAUACUUACACAGCUCUUCUGACUACUGCUAUCGAAGCAAUGAAAACCAAGUGUGUAGUUCAUGCAAAUAAAGCAUACCAGCAAAGCAUCUUCCAAUGACCUCAGUGACCAACCCUGGAAAGCUCCAAUUUAGAGCACAUUAACUUUAGGCCCACAAUAACAACAGCAGAAGUUGCACAUCUUACCAACAGCACUGCCCACUACUCCAGUUAUACCCCAUGCUGAAAUCUAGUGAAACUCAUCACUAAAAAGCCUGAUUUAUAAGCUCUGUUUCUGAGCACAAGUAAUCUAUUUUCUCUCCAAACACAGACAUGCUACACAGGAAGUGCAGAGACAUGUUUUAAGGUCUAGGCUGAAGUUCCACCUUUGCUACUCUUACAGUAUCUGCAGCAAUGAAGAAAAAAUAAACCAGCAGAUUGCAGCUGCAAGGACACUGAACAGGGAAGCUUUGACAGCAGUGUAAAGAGGUUCAGUUUGCUGCCACUGAACUUUGCUCUGAGGACAACAAGAGAGCACCUGACUCUCAUUUGACUAUUGUAAUCAUGGAGAGGCUAAAAGCCCAUUUGUUCUGUAGUCUUAAAUAUACAGAAGACAGUAAGUUUGGAGGACUUGACAGUUCAAGAGAUCAAGACCAGAGCCUUUCAUUUAAGUCACCAGUUCAGAGACCAGAAUAGUAGUAAUCAAAAGCUGCAUGUGAUGGCUGCGGAGGGAUUACAUACAGAGUUACUUGCCAUCCAGUUCCCAUAUCACUGAAUCACAGGAGCUCUCUUCACAAUUUACACCUGUUUUCCACAGGUCACCAAUAUCCAGGACUUCUGGAUUUUGUACAGGUUAAUAAGUAGCAAAGCAGAAGUGCUGCUUUGACACACUGAGCUUGAAUUGUAAAAGUGGACUUCACCCUCCUGUUGUCAAUUGUGUCAGUUACAGUAUGUGUUGAUAUUGUAAAACCUCCAUAGCUGUGCAUAGAGUCAAUCAGGGGCAGCUUCUUUCCAACCCAGUUUUAGUUUAAAGAGUUUGCAAAAGUGCCUGGAAACACAAGGCAGGACAGAAACAUGAAAACAGGUUCAGAGUGUAUGUUGACGGAAGGUUCUGGAGCGCAGGUUCAUUGCCCUGGUAUGAAUAACAACCACUGAAAGUGAUCUUCUGCACUACCCCAGCAAUACAAAGUUCCAUAGCUCUGGGUAGCAUACUGCUUCCUGAGAAUAAUGUUGUUGGUAGCAAGCCAAAGGCCUAUAAACUUCACUAUCCCAAGCAGUAACUAAGGAGGCCGGUGCAUACAAAGAAUGCAACUUGCUACCCCAGGAGCCCAGGGAGCACAACAUACCAGACUGAUGAGAUUGCUGUAAUCUUCAAGAACUUCCUGAGAUUUCUGUUGCUGCUUUUGAUCCUCGAUGUACCACUGCACGGCAAUAACCGAACCUGGAAAGAACAGAGAGGCGCAUAUGGUAAAUAUCAGGCCUCCACUAGAGCAGGCUCAGUAGUUGCCUGUACAGCCAUGGGCCCUGCAGUUCAAGUAGCCGUCUCAGAUCACCCACAGGUGAGCUACCAUGAGAACUGAUUGAAGUCUCUCCACUCCAACUGCUUCCUUCUGUGUGGGGAAUAAGCUGAUCAGAACAAGGAAUUACAUCUUGUGCAGACACACAGCUGAGGGCUCCAGCAUGAGAUGCCACAGAUCUCUCUUCAAAGAGCACCUGAGAAAGGAUCCAAAAAGGGUUUGGAAAGAUAUUUUUCCUUGUCAACAGGUAACUCUUGGGUGGAUAAAACAAAUAAUAAAGCCAGUUUCUGCUUAAUUCAGCAUGCUCCACCUGCAUCUGUAUAUAAGCCAUAAUACUCUCUGCAGCUUAAAUGUUAAGCACAAGUCCAAGUCUAUUCAGUACUUAAUUAAAAGGUAGCUGCACAACCAUUAGCCAGCAAGAAAACGGAGCCAGGAGUUUGGGUACUUCUAAUCCCCUCUGAAAUCAAAGUGAUUAAUACAGCUGUUACAGAAGGACACACUCUCACAGAAACAGGGAUUACCUUUAUCUGUAACCAUAGCAACUUUUCACUAGUUUAUGUCAGUGCUGCUCUCCCGAUAACUUACCACUAUCUCUUUCAGGCUAUUUGUACAAGGUUUUGUAUGUACCAUCCGAGACAGUGAAACAACAAGAAGCUGAAAUGUAAACUUACGUUCUUAGAUCACUCUCUCCGCGGUGCAUUAUGAAACACAGAGUUCGUCAUCCGUGUCAACAACGCGUGAUUAGGUGUGGGAGCAGAAAACACGCAGUGGGGAAAGCUGAAUGGUCACAAAGAACAACAGGAGCAAACAAAGGUAGAGACUGAGCAUGAAUGGAUCAAACCUGUAGGGUCAAACCUACUCGAUUGAGUAGGACUGAGCAGGUAGGUGGGAUGCCCAUCAAAGCCCACCUGACUGCCAGGCAUCAAGGGCAGCAUGUCUGCCAUCACAGCACCACCUCACCUACUGGCACUUGGAGCUGCAUAGAGGAUCUUGUAGCAAACUGACUGCUGAGUGUCUUACUUGAAUGGGACACACUGUAGGAUGGAGAUGCUGCACGAAGCCCUGCCUGCUCUGCAUUGUCCAAAAUGAGGCAGAUCGUUUUGCCACAUCAUUACAAAUCUGGGAGCCUCCUUUCCAGAUAGUCUUGUUUGGAAAUCCAGGCUGGGGCCUUUUAAAGACGUAGCAACUCCCUAGUUAAGCUUUUAAUAUCCACGUUAAAGAGAUCACUUAGUGUGUCCUGGUAUUCGAGAGAACAGUGGGCCAUUCUUGGCUGACAAGUAACUACUCAAACGACUACACAAACUAUUUGGUACCUCUGUGCUUUUUCCCCUCCUGCAUUUGCUUUCUCUGUGCAGUGCCCUCUGAGGGAGGGACUUGUCUAGUCCUUAGCACAGCAAACACCACCUUCAUUGAGAGCCUCUGUGCUCCUCAAUCCUCCCCUAAUCAGCAGCCUCUCAACCCAAAGGCCUCUGCCAUAGGCUUGACUUUCACCCUGCUGUUCUAACAGCAUUUUCUAAUGCAUCCCCGGGGCUGUGCUGGGCCAACUUUUGCUUUUGCAGUUUUUGUUUGCCUUCACUACACAUAGAGGAGCUCUUAGUAAAUCAUGUCACUAGACUUCUGGAUUUAUAAACAAAGAAGUGGCUGGCCUGCUCUGUGCAAAUAGCCUUCCUUGGUGCUUGGCCACAGUGGGGCAUCUGGAAAGCAAACAGCACAUUUGACAUGGCCAUCAAGGAUGGAGAUGAUAGCAAUGACAAAGAUGUCUGUCCAUCCAUCUACCUGCCUGCUCAGGAAUGCCAACAGCACCAGCCUAUGGCAGGUCUGACAGUCUUGUUUGUUCUGUUCCUGUCCAUCUGACCUUGCUGUUUCAGACAGGCUAUUUGUCAGUGCCAGAGAAAUCUGCCACAACAACAGAGGGAAUAUCUGGUGUCAGUAUUCUCCAGCUUCUUGAUGGAAAUACCUCAUUAGAGAAACUAAACCUGCGCUUUGAUUGCUCAGAAUGAAGCCAUUUGUUUUGCAAAGAUCUCCGAGCUGUUACUCACUUCUUGUAAAAUUAUAAUGCCUCAAGUCUUAUUCUAAAGCAGCAUUGGAUAGCUGGAAUGACUUGAAAUUUGCAACCAAUAAAAAGUUUUACAGCAAAGCAGAGCUGAUCAGUGCCUCCUAAGUGCAAUAAUUAAUCUUUGCUGUCAAAAUGUCGUCAGAUUUUGCUGGAUUUAAGAACAACAACAUGUUUUAUUGGAGAAAGCAAUAAAACAGGACAUUUCCAUUCACAGACGUUUUGAAUGCAUUUGAUAUUUGCAUCUUUUUCCUGAGAAAAUAUGGAGCCUUAAGACACCUGGAACAGGCAGUUUGUCCUGUAACAGCCAGCUAUUUUGUCAUGAUCAGCUUGGAGCUGCCUCAGACUUUGGCAGGGGAUACCAAAUGUGAAGGGGAUGGCUGCUGUGCUGGUGGAAAGAAGCCUGUGGACUUGAAAUAUUGCAGCUGUAACCCAUGUGAGGACACAACCAUAGAGUCAGGGAACACUAGAGACCUUCCCACCUCAUUCCUAUCCUAUCCCUGCUACAUUCUGUAAAACUAGAUCUAGUUCAGCUCACGUAAUGUUUAACUUACUUGGAUCUGAAGAAAUUCUGGCGCCCGAUUCCCUUUAUUACCUUUUAACAUCUUGUGCACCGUACAGAACAAAUUAAAACACAUACCAGCAACUUACCAGUGUUACACAGAAAGCAGCUGGAUGCUUGUCCAGAGCAGAAGGUUGAAGAUUUGGAUCACGAAUGAGUCAAAAGAUGAGAAGAAGCUUUGUCUUAAUAUCACACUCCCAAGAACACUCACACUACCUACAGACAGCUCAGCUAAUGCUUCUUAACGUACAGCAGUCAAAGGGAAGCUUCAGCCAUUUGUGAUUCCUACUUUCUUUCCCACUAUUUUUUCUACCCCCAUCUUUCUCCC